AUGAUAUCUUGCGCAAGCAGACCGCUCUCAAGAGGGGAGAGGAAAAUGCCAAUGCUUAUCGGGAUUGUAGUACUAUUCACCAUUCACGUGUUUGGAGUCUACUGGUGGUACAGGAAUGAUGACCUUGUUAGACCAUUCGUGGUGCUUCCUCCAAAAGAAAUACCACCAUUCUGGCAUGCUAUAUUUUUCAUUGCGGUGAAUGGUACAAUGGUCCGACAAGCUGCUAUGGUGGUCAAGUGUGUGUUGCUCAUGUACUACAAAAAUCCACUUCCUGCCCCUUGCCCUAUUUUACGUCGAAUAUCUCAAGCGACAAAAUUUGCUCUUAAUGUACUGCUGCAUGAUCUGGAUAUCUCUCAAAAUUUAGUACUUUCUGGUGUUGAUCUCAAGUGCUGGCUCCUACAGCAUUGCAUUUCACCAAGUGAAAUGCUACAUCUCUACUCCUAA
rnacentral:rRNA from 1 species